rnacentral:tRNA from 1 species
GACGGUAUAGCUCAGUGGUAGAGUGCAUGCCUAGCAUGCACGAAGUCCUGGGUUCAAUCCCCAGUACCCCCA